UAUGUCCUUUAUUCUGUAUAGCUCUUUACUAUUAUCAUGCAAUUAUUUAAGUACUAUGAUGAAAAGUAUCUUGUCAACAUUCCUACAAUGGAGUUUCUAAAGUUAAUACUUAAGUACUUAUAUGCUUAAUACUUAGUAGACUAUUGAUCACUGAAAUGUAAUUGACCAUUUAAGCCUUUUGUGGUGGGUUUUGAUUGCUUUAAGUUUAAUACAGUGGCUUGAAGAUUAUUCAGAAACAAUUGUCCAAUGUCCAACUGUGUUCUGAAAGAAACUCCCUUACAGCUCUUUAGUUAUACCAUAAAUGUCGGCCAUGGUAAAGAUAAUACUAAAGAUCAUACUAUCAAAUUUUUGGUAUGACCUAUUUCAAUUUAAAAUUGUAAUUACUCUUUUGUAAAUUAAUUGUACUAGGAAAACAUUUUACUAAUUAAAAAAUAUUAUAUCUAUGCCUGUUAUUUUUAAUAUGUAUUCUUACUGAAACUAAUGCAAAUCAUUUGAUGAAUAACUUUAUUUCAAUCAAUUUAGAAAAUAGGCAAUCUGCAUAGUCUCUAUGCUACCUGUAUCAUAUGUACGUUUUGAUUUAAUUCUUAAGUCAGUCAUGUAUUUUAUUGUUAUACAAUAUAAGUGUGUAUAUUUAACUUGUAAAAUAUUUUUAACAUUGUAACUUAGUACAACUAAUUUAAUAAGACUAUAAACAUCAGUUGUAUUUUUUUUAAAUAAUGAUAUUACCAAUUAGUAAAUAAAGAAAAACAUUCAUAAAAAUUAACAUUACUUUAUUUCUAGAGUCAUUGCAUCAUUUUCAAUAAUAAAAAUGAAUUGUAUUCUAAUCUGGGCCUAGAGAAUGAAUUACAUUAUGUAUC